UUUCCGUAGGUGAACCUGCGGAAGGAUCAUUACCGAGUGAGGGUCUCCCAAGCCCGUCCGCAAAUACUUUGUUGAAUUACCAGGUUAUUUUCGCGGGCCCGUUUAAAGACCGCCGCAAGUCCUUGGACUUCUAGCCUGAUGCUGCCGAUAGCCUUUUCCGAACUAUUCAAACAAAUUAAUCUAAACGUACUACAUCUAAUAGCUAAAACUUUCAACAACGGAAGUCUUGGUUCUAGCACCGAUGAAGAACGCUGCAGACCGGAAGAGCACACGUAUGAA
rnacentral:misc_RNA from 1 species